rnacentral:rRNA from 1 species
CAGCCGCCACGGUAAUACGUAGGGUGCGAGCGUUAAUCGGAAUUACUGGGCGUAAAGCGUGCGCAGGCGGUUGUGUAAGACAGGUGUGAAAUCCCCGGGCUUAACCUGGGAACUGCGCUUGUGACUGCACAGCUAGAGUAUGGCAGAGGGGGGUGGAAUUCCACGUGUAACAGUGAAAUGCGUAGAGAUGUGGAGGAACACCGAUGGCGAAGGCAGCCCCCUGGGCCAAUACUGACGCUCAUGCACGAAAGCGUGGGGAGCAAACAGGAUUAGAUACCCGGGUAGUCCCUGUCUCUUAUAC